GAUGAACGCUGGCGGCGUGCCUAAUACAUGCCAGUCGAGCGAACAGACGAGGAGCUUGCUCCUCUGACGUUAGCGGCGGACGGGUGAGUAACACGUGGAUAACCUACCUAUAAGACUGGGAUAACUUCGGGAAACCGGAGCUAAUACCGGAUAAUAUAUUGAACCGCAUGGUUCAAUAGUGAAAGACGGUUUUGCUGUCACUUAUAGAUGGAUCCGCGCCGCAUUAGCUAGUUGGUAAGGUAACGGCUUACCAAGGCAACGAUGCGUAGCCGACCUGAGAGGGUGAUCGGCCACACUGGAACUGAGACACGGUCUAGACUCCUACGGGAGGCAGCAGUAGGGAAUCUUCCGCAAUGGGCGAAAGCCUGACGGAGCAACGCCGCGUGAGUGAUGAAGGUCUUCGGAUCGUAAAACUCUGUUAUUAGGGAAGAACAAAUGUGUAAGUAACUAUGCACGUCUUGACGGUACCUAAUCAGAAAGCCACGGCUAACUACGU
rnacentral:rRNA from 1 species